rnacentral:rRNA from 2 species
AGAGUUUGAUNNUGGCUCAGAUUGAACGCUGGCGGCAGGCCUAACACAUGCAAGUCGAGCGGUAGCACAGAGAGCUUGCUCUCGGGUGACGAGCGGCGGACGGGUGAGUAAUGUCUGGGAAACUGCCUGAUGGAGGGGGAUAACUACUGGAAACGGUAGCUAAUACCGCAUAACGUCGCAAGACCAAAGUGGGGGACCUUCGGGCCUCAUGCCAUCAGAUGUGCCCAGAUGGGAUUAGCUAGUAGGUGGGGUAACGGCUCACCUAGGCGACGAUCCCUAGCUGGUCUGAGAGGAUGACCAGCCACACUGGAACUGAGACACGGUCCAGACUCCUACGGGAGGCAGCAGUGGGGAAUAUUGCACAAUGGGCGCAAGCCUGAUGCAGCCAUGCCGCGUGUGUGAAGAAGGCCUUCGGGUUGUAAAGCACUUUCAGCGGGGAGGAAGGCGAUGAGGUUAAUAACCUCAUCGAUUGACGUUACCCUGCAGAAGAAGCACCGGCUAACUCCGUGCCAGCAGCCGCGGUAAUACGGAGGGUGCAAGCGUUAAUCGGAAUUACUGGGCGUAAAGCGCACGCAGGCGGUCUGUCAAGUCGGAUGUGAAAUCCCCGGGCUCAACCUGGGAACUGCAUUCGAAACUGGCAGGCUAGAGUCUUGUAGAGGGGGGUAGAAUUCCAGGUGUAGCGGUGAAAUGCGUAGAGAUCUGGAGGAAUACCGGUGGCGAAGGCGGCCCCCUGGACAAAGACUGACGCUCAGGUGCGAAAGCGUGGGGAGCAAACAGGAUUAGAUACCCUGGUAGUCCACGCCGUAAACGAUGUCGAUUUGGAGGUUGUGCCCUUGAGGCGUGGCUUCCGGAGCUAACGCGUUAAAUCGACCGCCUGGGGAGUACGGCCGCAAGGUUAAAACUCAAAUGAAUUGACGGGGGCCCGCACAAGCGGUGGAGCAUGUGGUUUAAUUCGAUGCAACGCGAAGAACCUUACCUGGUCUUGACAUCCACAGAACUUUCCAGAGAUGGAUUGGUGCCUUCGGGAACUGUGAGACAGGUGCUGCAUGGCUGUCGUCAGCUCGUGUUGUGAAAUGUUGGGUUAAGUCCCGCAACGAGCGCAACCCUUAUCCUUUGUUGCCAGCGGUUAGGCCGGGAACUCAAAGGAGACUGCCAGUGAUAAACUGGAGGAAGGUGGGGAUGACGUCAAGUCAUCAUGGCCCUUACGACCAGGGCUACACACGUGCUACAAUGGCAUAUACAAAGAGAAGCGACCUCGCGAGAGCAAGCGGACCUCAUAAAGUAUGUCGUAGUCCGGAUUGGAGUCUGCAACUCGACUCCAUGAAGUCGGAAUCGCUAGUAAUCGUAGAUCAGAAUGCUACGGUGAAUACGUUCCCGGGCCUUGUACACACCGCCCGUCACACCAUGGGAGUGGGUUGCAAAAGAAGUAGGUAGCUUAACCUUCGGGAGGGCGCUUACCACUUUGUGAUUCAUGACUGGGGUGAAGUCGUAACAAGGUAACCGUAGGGGAACCUGCGGUUGGAUCACCUCCUUU